UCAGACUAAAUAUUUGGACCCGAACCUAGAUCUCUCCUACUCAGGCGGCCUAACCUCCACCACCAUCCUGGGCUGCAAACUCCCUAGACCCCUUUCCCUCUUGGCAGUGGCUCCCUCCAGUACAUUUG